rnacentral:rRNA from 1 species
GACGAACGCUGGCGGCGUGCUUAACACAUGCAAGUCGAACGAAAAGAGGGAAAGAGCUUGCUCUUUCCGGAAUUGAGUGGCAAACGGGUGAGUAACACGUAAACAACCUGCCUUCAGGAUGGGGACAACAGACGGAAACGACUGCUAAUACCGAAUAAGUUCCAAGGGCCGCAUGGCCCAUGGAAGAAAAGGUGGCCUCUACCUGUAAGCUAUCGCCUGAAGAGGGGUUUGCGUCUGAUUAGCUGGUUGGAGGGGUAACGGCCCACCAAGGCGACGAUCAGUAGCCGGUCUGAGAGGAUGAACGGCCACACUGGAAUUGAGACACGGUCCAGACUCCUACGGGAGGCAGCAGUGGGGAAUCUUCCGCAAUGGGCGAAAGCCUGACGGAGCAACGCCGCGUGAGUGAUGACAGCCUUCGGGUUGUAAAACUCUGUGAUCCGGGACGAAAAGGCAGAGUGCGAAGAACAAACUGCAUUGACGGUACCGGAAAAGCAAGCCACGGCUAACUACGUG